rnacentral:rRNA from 1 species
GGGUGAGUAACGCGUGGGAACCUACCCUGGGGUGGGGGACAACCACUGGAAACGGUGGCUAAUACCGCAUACGCCCUCCGGGGGAAAACUUUUGUGCCCUGGGAUGGUCCCGCGUCGGAUUAGCUAGUUGGUGGGGUAACGGCCUACCAAGGCGACGAUCCGUAACUGGUCUGAGAGGAUGAUCAGUCACACUGGAACUGAGACACGGUCCAGACUCCUACGGGAGGCAGCAGUGGGGAAUAUUGGACAAUGGGGGCAACCCUGAUCCAGCCAUGCCGCGUGGGUGAAGAAGGCCUUAGGGUUGUAAAACCCUUUCAGCGGGGAAGAUGAUGACGGUACCCGCAGAAGAAGCCCCGGCUAACUCCGUGCCAGCAGCCGCGGUAAUACGGAGGGGGCUAGCGUUGUUCGGAAUUACUGGGCGUAAAGGGCGUGUAGGCGGUCUAUCGAGUCAGGCGUGAAAGCCCCGGGCUUAACCUGGGAACUGCGUUUGAUACUGAUAGACUAGAGGUUGGAAGAGGAGAGUGGAAUUCCCAGUGUAGAGGUGAAAUUCGUAGAUAUUGGGAAGAACACCAGUGGCGAAGGCGGCUCUCUGGUCCAUACCUGACGCUGAGGCGCGAAAGCGUGGGGAGCAAACAGGAUUAGAUACCCUGGUAGUCCACGCCGUAAACGAUGUGUGCUAGACGUCGGGUGUUCAGCAUUCGGUGUCGGAGCUAACGCAUUAAGCACACCGCCUGGGGAGUAACGGCCGCAAGGUUAAAACUCAAA